rnacentral:tRNA from 1 species
AGACCAGUAGCUCAAGUGGAUAGAGCUCCGGACUCCAAAUCCGGGGGUUGGGGGUUCGAGUCCCUCCUGGUCUG